GUGAGCCGAUAGGUCAUCUCCCAGCCCGAAGCCGAACCCAUUUCACCCGUAAGCUUUCCUACCGCCAUGACUUCCAGUAUCAAGGACGGCGACAACAAGAUUCUGAGCUACCACGACGUCGUCCUCCGCCGAUCUGACCUCGGCAUCCUCCGCGGCCCCCAUUACCUCAACGACCGCCUCAUCGAGUUCUACUUCGCCCACCUCGCUUCCUCCUCCGGCUCCUCCGGAGCCGUCUUCCUCGUCCCACCUUCCAUUUCCUUCUGGCUCGCCAACUGCUCCGACUCCCAAUCUCUCCGUGAGUUCGCAGAUCCCCUCCGCCUCUCCGAUCGCUCCCUUGUCCUCUUCACCGUCAACGACAACCUCGACGUCGACGUCGCUGAGGGCGGUUCGCACUGGAGUCUUCUCGUCUACUGCCGGGAGACCAGCGAGUUCGUGCACCACGAUAGUUGCUCCGGCAUAAACCUCUGCCAUGCACAACGGCUCUUCCGCGCCGUUAGUGGAUUUGUGGGUGCUAGCGAACCCCCUCAGUUUGUCGAGGGUUUCACUCCGCAGCAGACAAACGGGUACGACUGUGGGCUGUAUGUUCUGGCGAUUUCCGAGGUGGUAUGCAAUUGGUUUCUGGCCGGCGGAAGGGGGUGCGCGAAGAGGGAUGAAAAGUGGUUCACUGCAGUUGACAAGGAAGUGGAUGCGGUUGCCGUUAAAAAGCUGAGGGGAGAAGUGUUGAAGCUUAUUUUGAGCUUGAUGGAGAACAAAUGACGGUGCAGCACUCACUAUAGCUUAUCCCUGUCUUCAAAAGCUUGGCCUUGCAUUCUAACGAUGGCAUCCAGGUAAGCUCCUCUUCUUUCUACUUAUUGGAGUGACUGACACCAUAUAGUAGGCACGAGUAAAGUGACACUAAAUUGUCUUGUUUUGAUUGGGGUUUGCAACCCCAACUCUGAACAAGACUAAGCCUUUGUAGCCACUGUAGUUAACAUUUUCUAUUUCUUUUGUCAGUACUGCAAGCCUCUAAUAUAUUAGGUUUGCAUCAAACAUAUGACAUGGUCAGAUGACAGCGAUUUUAGAGCUCAAACUGAGGUCAGAUGGUAGUCAUAGUUAGGAUCAUUGUCAGGGAUUCAGAUAGAAGUUGUCAAUUGAUUGGGUCCUUUGUGCAAUUUGCAGUGACAGCUAUCCUAUUUACACUGAAUCUGUUGCAAUUAAAAAAGUCUUGAUAACUAAAGUUAGAGGGAUCAAGCAGCUUACCUUCACACGGUGGCCUACACAACUUCAGUUAGGGUCAGUCCUUCAGUUUUUGCUGUAGUCUGUUUCAACUAGGCUUUUACUGACAUGUUGGAUAGACGAAGAUCAUCUAUCCACUAAAACAUGGUGGUAAAAGCGAAUGCGCUCGCCACCAACGCCUCUGUCAAUCCAUCCUAGAGCCAACACGGAGGAGAUAAAUCACGGGUGACUACUAACCUUUGGAAUAAUGACUAACAUAUAAGAUCUAUCCAUUAAAACAUGUCUCAAGGAAAUCUGUCCAGAAUGCUUGUGAUAGCCAUAAAUUUAAGCUUUCUUUAGUUAAUUGUUAUCUAAACUUGUUUCCGAAUUUCUUUGUACUAUGGAUUGUAAUUCUGGAACAACCAUUUUGAUUGUAUUGAACCUGUACCUGUAAAAUUCCCCCCUAACAUUUUCCCGUCAAUUAUCCUCGUUCGUUUUCUUCUCUUCUACUAUUGUACAGGUGCUUAUGAGAUCUGCUAAGUCAUGGUUCGGAUUUUGUGACGAGGAGUAUCUUAAUAAACAGUGCUUCUCUACUGUG